rnacentral:rRNA from 1 species
UUGACAAAACCGGAGGAAGGUGGGGAUGACGUCAAAUCAUCACGGCCCUUAUGUCCAGGGCUACACACGUGCUACAAUGGCCGGUACAAUGAGAAGCGAGACUGCGAGGUGGAGCAAAUCUCAAAAAACCGGUCUCAGUUCGGAUCGGAGUCUGCAACUCGACUCCGUGAAGUUGGAAUCGCUAGUAAUCGUGGAUCAGCACGCCACGGUGAAUACGUUCCCGGGCCUU